UACGAAGGGGGCUAGCGUUGCUCGGAAUCACUGGGCGUAAAGCGCACGUAGGCGGACUCUUAAGUCGGUGGUGAAAUCCUGGAGCUCAACUCCAGAACUGCCUUCGAUACUGAGAGUCUCGAGUCCGAGAGAGGUGAGUGGAACUGCGAGUGUAGAGGUGAAAUUCGAUGAGAUAUUCGCAAGAACACCAGUGGCGAAGGCGGCUCACUGGCCCGAUACUGACGCUGAGGCACGGAAAAGCGUGGGGAGCAAACAGG
rnacentral:rRNA from 1 species